rnacentral:sRNA from 1 species
GUCGAAACCGAGCUCUCCUAACACCACUUUAACUGCCACAGAUAGCUUCCAACAUUUAAUAACUAUGGAUUGACGGCACAGCGAUAUCAAUAAUGACCCUCUCCCCCCUUCCACCGAUGAAGAACAUGAAGAGGAAGUAGAAGGGGUGGUAAAAGCGCAGGAAUUCAAAUAAAUCUCUGCUAUUAUGGCUACCAUAGCAACCGACGCGUAUACUCGACGGCCAGGUACAGCCUUGGCCUUUCCCUUUGCAUAACGGACUUUGGACAGGUCAAACGGGGAUAGAUGCGUGGCUUUAUAAUGACUCCGAGACGAAUGUAUGCUUGAUCAGUUGAGUAUUUGGCCCGAUGAGUUCCUCUUCUUAAAGAACCAUCCCAUUAGCAAGGUGUGCAGCUCGAGUCUGGUGGCGUAUCUUCAGAUGGAAGGCUGGCUCUGUGGCUUUUUAUUUUACGAGGAAGGAAAAGCAACAGGGACACUGCUCAGGAGUUCUCAAA